rnacentral:rRNA from 1 species
UACGUAGGCAGCGAGCGUUGUUCGGAAUUACUGGGCGUAAAGAGUGUGUAGGCGGUGUUCCCAGUCUGUUGUGAAAUCUCCCGGCUUAACUGGGAGGGUGCAGCGGAAACUAGAAUGCUAGAGGGUGGGAGAGGUAAGCGGAAUUCCUGGUGUAGCGGUGAAAUGCGCAGAUAUCAGGAGGAACACCAAUGGCGAAGGCAGCUCGCUGGGACGGUACUGACGCUGAGGCGCGAAAGCGUGGGGAGCGAACAGG